rnacentral:rRNA from 1 species
AUUGAACGCUGGCGGCAGGCCUAACACAUGCAAGUCGAGCGGAUGAAGGGAGCUUGCUCCUGGAUUCAGCGGCGGACGGGUGAGUAAUGCCUAGGAAUCUGCCUGGUAGUGGGGGAUAACGUCCGUAAACGGGCGCUAAUACCGCAUACGUCCUGAGGUAGAAAGUGGGGGAUCUUCGGACCUCACGCUAUCAGAUGAGCCUAGGUCGGAUUAGCUAGUUGGUGGGGUAAAGGCCUACCAAGGCGACGAUCCGUAACUGGUCUGAGAGGAUGAUCAGUCACACUGGAACUGAGACACGGUCCAGACUCCUACGGGAGGCAGCAGUGGGGAAUAUUGGACAAUGGGCGAAAGCCUGAUCCAGCCAUGCCGCGUGUGUGAAGAAGGUCUUCGGAUUGUAAAGCACUUUAAGUUGGGAGGAAGGGCAGUAAGUUAAUACCUUGCUGUUUUGACGUUACCAACAGAAUAAGCACCGGCUAACUUCGUG